CACAAAGGGUGCUGAAGUUGGUGCAUGAAUAUCGAGGUUUCAGCUGGUGACAGACUGCAUGGGUGGCAGCGAUGGGCCCCUGGGAACCGUAGCAGCUGGGAGGUGCCUAUCACCGACAUCACGGCUGUCCUGGUUCCACAGUGCAGUUAUGUGCCACAGUGCAGGUGUGUCAGUUACAACAGACCUACCGUGCAGCCAGUCGUAUAAAAUGCUGUGCACACCAUCUUUCUUGUUGCUAUUUAAAGAUUUAUUUACUUACUUGAGGUAGAGUUACAGACAGAUAGAGGGAGAGACAGAGAGGGAGGUCCUCCAUCCGCUGGUUCACUCCCCAAUAGGCUGCAAUGGCCAGAGCUGCGCCAAUCCAAAGCCAGGAGCCAGGAGCUUCUUCUGGGUUUCCUAUGUUGGUGCAGGGGCCCGAGAACUUGGGCCAUCUUCUGCUGCUUUCCCAGGGCAUCAGCAGGGAGCUGGAUUGGAAGUGGAGCAGCAGGGACUUGAACCAGGGCCCAUAUGGGAUGCCGGCACUGCAGGCGGAUGUCUACCUCCUACUCCCCAGCGCCGGCCCCGCACACCGUCUCGAUCAGGAUGAACAACUGUGUCCCCGGCUUACAGCUUUGCUGCACUCCACUUCCUAUCUCUGUUUUAGAGGGUACUCCACUACUUGCAAAACCCAAACCGUGAAGCGGUGCUGUGGGACGCCGGCGGCUGCCUGGUCCACCUCGUGGUCACCACAUCGCUUAUCUGCCCCGGGAGGACAUGCCGAGGGCUGGACCUGCACCAUCCAGCCAAAGACUACCUGUGGAGAGUGUGUUCAGCUCAAUGGUUAAGACGCCGGUUAACAGCGGCAUCCCGUGUUGGAGUGCAGGGUUCAAUCCCCAGCUCCGCUUCUGGAUUCCGUCUUCCUACUGAUGAACACGCUGGGAGGCAGCAGUGGGUGGCUCACGUGGCUGGGCCCCUCCUUCGCCGUGGGAGACCGAGCUGCCAGCUCCUGGUUCCACCCUGGCCAUUGUAUGUGCUGAGUGAACCAGUGGAUGGGAACGCUCUCUGUGUCCUGAGUAAACACAUAGUUUAAAACCUGUGUAUUUGAGCUGUACUCCUCAGUGCUUUGAUGUAAGUAUACAUUGCGAAAUAUCACAACCAAACCAGCAUCACCCUCACUUCCCAUAGUUACCUUUUGGUAUGUGGUAAGAAUACUUAAGACCUACCCCCUUAGCAAAAUUUUAAAAAAGAUUUUAUUUAUUUAUUUGAGAAGUAGAAUUACAGAUAGAGAGAGGGAGAGGGAGAGAGAAAGGUCUUCCAUCCGCUGGUUCACUCCCAGAUGGCCACUAUGGCCGGAUCUGAGCAAAUCUGGAGCCUGGAAUUAGGAGCUUCCUCUGGGUCUCCCACGUGGGUUCAGGGGUCCAAGGACUUGCGCCAUCUUCCGCUGCUUUCUCAGGCACCUUAGCAGGGAGCUGGAUUGAAAGUGGAGCAGCCGGACUCCAGCAGGCACCCAUCUGGGAUGCCGGUGCUGCAGGCAGCAGCUUAAUCCAUUACGCCACAGCUGACCCCACCUCUGUAUCUCUUGGUCAAGCAUUUCCC
ensembl:lncRNA